AAUACCUGCAUAUCACAUUUCAUUUCCAUUUUGAUCUUAAAUUUCCCUGCAGGUUAAAAAGCAACAGGGACCACUUUAUUCUGAAAAUCACCUUGUCAAGUGGAUCUAGCAAUGGGGUCAUCAGGAUUGAAAGCCCUGAUCUUCGGACUUCUAGUCUUGGGCACUUUCUUCUGCUCCCUUGGUAUGAGUGCUCUCUGAAAUCCAUUUCCUCCUCUUCUUGGCUUGACUAUCCAUCACAAACUUCCUUGCCAUUAGGUGCAGUGAAGUGUCUGAAUUCUGGCCAAUGCAAUGGGAAUGCAAGGCAUGCAAACCUCUUCCGUGGCUCAGACUAUAAACUCUUCCCAUGCAUAUUCCUCUAAGCUGUUUUGCCUUUUGGCUGACUGAAGAACAGAUAACAAUGGCAGCCUUAGAAGCCAAGAACUGGAAGAUAACUGAGCCACAGUUGGCCUAGUUCUCUGAAUGACUAAAUGAAGCAAAGUCACCUUCACUUCCCAUUUUGUCACCAAUCUCAAACUGCCCUGGACAUCAAGAAAUGACCUCGUGUUAUGUUGAGUCAUCACAUGUCUGGGUUAACUUAUCAUUAGACUCUCUUAGCCAUAACAGACAGCCAGCCCUGCAUACCAGCUCAUCUGGACCUCAGCAGCAGCAGCAGCAGCAACAGCAGCAACAUGCCUCUUGUUCUGCUUUACAGAGACGAUCAGUUCCAUCCCUGCAGGGAUUCUUCAGGGCACUCAUAAAUCAUUAAGCCAAAAUCAUCUGGGGAAGUGAAUAACCAGGCACAGUCAUUUGGGGGCAGGGUGAAGAAGAAGAUGAGGUCAGGCUUUGCAGUCAAACAAACCUCAAUUUGAUGUCCAACUGUAUCGCCUAUUAAUUGUGCAAAAUAUGGCCAGUUUCUUAGCCUCUCUGUGUCUUGGUUUGCUCAUCUGUAAAAUGGACAGAUUGUUGAGUUUAAUUUACCUUGAGAGCAAACUCCUGGGAUUAUCAAACCAACAGGAGCUGCCCUUUCUACAGGAAGAAAAUGAGGGGAUGAUUAGAUCUGAAAGCACCUUCAAAGGGUGACCAUCCUGCUUAGUGCUGCUUUGACAACAUCAUUUGUGAAUCUCCUUUCAACAAAGGGACCAGGCCUCAAACUCAGAAUGAGAGAAGUGAUUACCUUUGCCUAUAAAACUACAUAUAAGACAGCAUCAGCCUGGAUUCCAAGCUCCUUUCCAGCACAUUCUGAUGCCCUCUGAUAUUCUCUACUGCUGUCUCUCCUGCCUUCAAGUUAUUGCCAGAAAGAAUUUUGAUCUGGUCCACUCUGUGCUUUCCCAUCUCGGUUUGGCUUCUGCUAUUCUCUCUGGGUAGAGCAUCCUCCGUCUUUCCUGCCACACAGAUCUUUGCUAUUACUCUUUCCUCUGAAGUACUCCUAGAGCACAUAGGUAUUUCUCCUUAGUAUUUGUGGUACCAUGCCUUAUUUCAUAGCCGUGUGUAAGAACCACCUAGGAACUUUUUUAAAACUACUGAUGCCUUAUCCCUAGCUUGGAAUUUCUAGCUUUCUGUAUGUACAGUGAAGCCUGGGACUUGGAUGCUUCUUAGAACUCACUAGAGGAGUCUAGUGUACAGCAAUGUUUGAGAACCACUCACUGCCACGGACACUCAUGAUCUGCUGCAAGCCCUUGCUAUUGGACAGUCAGUUUCUCAAGUUUGCUCGACUUGGUAUAGAUGGAACGGCAGUGGAGAAAUACUCCAGCAUCUAAAUCCACCCUGGUCUUAUUCCAGGACACGAAUCUCUGACAGAUUUUAAAUCAGGAUUCUAUUACAUGAUUGUGCAGGUUAUUAGAAACAGACCACCAGGAACAGGAAAGCAUCACAGCAACUCAGCCAAGCUUUGGACUGCUUCCCCCAUCUAGGAAAUGUAUCAUGCAGGCUAUUUUCAGUUGUUAAUUAGUCAUGGAAAAAGGAACCAUCUGCUUCCACCAGGUAUGGACACUAGAAACUUCUCCUCCAUGUAAUACACUUCACUUCUUCAUCAACUUGCCAUGGAUCAGACAGACAGCUGCCUUCCAUCCUGCGUCUUUCACCGUGGGUCAUGUGAAAAACUUCGGGAUACACACAUGGGUAUGGUCUGUUCUCAAAACCAAACAGUUCACCGUGAGUUUAAAUGGGUACCAUUAUAAUUCAUGGUAAAAAUCUAAUACCGGCCCUGAGCUGUCAUCAGAGACAUGAUUUAAGCGUCUAAAACACCCAGCAUGAUCAAGAAUUCUGUCUCGGGUUAGACUAUCUUACUGAUGCUUAAAGGAUACCGUCAGCUUUCUUCUCUUGAGUUUUUCCCGGUGACAGUUUACAUGUUUUAUUCUAGACUCCAUCUCUCUCAGCGCCCCCAGAGGCUUCUAUCAGUGAGAAAUGGCACGCCAGCUUCUCCUAAAACCAUUAUUAACGACAGACCGAUUUCUGCAGCGUCUGAACUCACAUGUACUUCUUCCUGCCAUCUUCAUUCCUCAGAUUGUAGAAGAGUGACAAAGUCUAGGCUUCAUGGAGAGAGAGUUAACUUACGGGGCCUGGCAGGGAACUGAAAGGCAGGGAGGUGCAAGUGAUUCUCCUUUCGUCCCUCUUCAUUAUUAUCAUCUUCCUCUCCACAUUUUUUCCCCUUUCCACACCUAUGUCUAUUCAGGUUUUUCAUCUGGUCUUUUAGGUACCGUACCUUCAUUCCUCAUCCUUGGCUCAGCUCUUGAUAUUUCAUUCUUUUUUUUUCUUUUUUUAUCCUACAAACUCCACUUCAGGUUUUGAGGCCACCUCUCUCUUCAAGGGUGAAUCUCCCAGGGGCACCAUCAUCCCUGUCACCUCCUCUUCAUCCCAGGCAAUGCCGGUUGCUAGUGGCAGUGGAGACAAGGCCUUUCAGAUAUAGAUUUCAGCACAUUAAAAGAUCUGAGCUUCUGCCAUGGUAAAAAAAUGUGCAUGGAUGUGAUCAAGACCCAUACAGGGAAGAAUCCAGAAAAAGAAGUGAAAACAUUCUUAGCAUGGAGAGAUUUGGGGAGGCGCUUUGUUUACUUUUCUGAAUGCCAUUAUAACUUUGUUAGUAUAAUUUUAAACAAAAAUUUUUGCACUUUUAAAAAAGCUGAUUCAAAGUAUCUAAAAUACAUGAAAGCUAUUAUUAUUAUUAUUAUUAUUUUAAAGAAACCUGAAGUGUAUUUUGAGAGUAGGUCAUCCAAAGAGUGGGAAAGAAAAUAGAACCUUGGUAGAAGAAUGCUUAGCAUCUGGACAGAGGACACGGCCCACCCAGUUAGGCACAGUUGACUGUGGGGACUGGGCUACAUCCUUCCCUGAGGAUCAUGUCCUCUCCAUCUGAGCUGACACAGUUCUCCCACCCCCUUCAGCCUUGCAUUUACUUCCCCAGCUCUUUUGUGCCACUCCUUUGGUUUCUCCCUUCCGCCCCACUUCACAGCUGGGAGGUGACAUCUAACACUUCCCAGCAGCAUAUGCUGGCAGGAGCAGGUGCCAAAGCAGCGGAGACUGCUAGAAAGGAAGAGAAUCCCACAAAGGACCAGGCUCUGCCUCACAUGCCCCGGCUGUCCUUUCCUCUGGGUCUCAGGGACAGGGCAGCCCCUGUUGAUUGUACUGGUGUUAUUCUCACAUGCAUAAACAGCAUUUGGGGGAGCUGCAGAAAGCAAGUGUCCCCUGAGCUGGUUGAAACGGCUCAGCUUUUCUUCCAGGGCAAGUGCUGUGUUCAUGCCCUUCACUCCCCUUGCUGUUACCCAGUAAAAACAUGGUGCAGCCCUUAAUAGUUAAGAGCCAGGCUCUGCAGCUACACCUUUGCAAAACCAAACUCUGGUCCUUGAUAGUAUCAGGACCUGGACAAGUUGUAGUGUGACAAUUUGUCAUUUUCUUAUCUAUGAAAUGUCUAUUCUUAAGAACUCAUUGAGAUAACACAUAUUAAAUGAUCUAAGUAUAGUAAGCUCAAUACUUGAGUUUUUAUUACCAAGUCACCCUCUGUGUUAGGUUUGCAAGCUGAAGUGACAAAUAAGAAAGGAGAGGCAGUUUUUCAUCUGCUCCCAGAGGGCCACAUUCUUUAGUUUAGGGAGAAGAAAAGGUACUUCUGUAAUCCACCGGAAGUUCAGCUUCCUCCUUCCCACUGCAAAAUGAGCUCCGGACAGAAGACAGGAAACAUCUCUUUAGGAUAGAAUAUGAUGCAUCUCCUCAUUCUUUCAUUCAUGCACUCAAGAAAUAUUUAUUGAGCACUUGACUUGUAUGCCAACACUGACUUUUGUAGGAGCUCAGGAGACAGCUUUGAGGAAGCAGAUUUCCUUACCCCAUGGAACUUAGAGUCUAGAAAACAAAUAUUAAACAGGUACACACUUGCACACACACACACACACACAUAUAUACUUGCUCCUUUUUUAUAAUGGUUCAGGUGUUACAAGUUAUGUGAAGAAAAGCAAAUGAGUUAAAAUGAUAAAGAAUGAGGCAGAGAAAGGGAGGGAAUCAUUUACACAUUUCACAUGACUGGUCACAGAAAAAUCUCUUUGCUAGGGAGAUGUUUGGGUAGAGCCUUCUCUGGAGACCUCCCAGAAAAGUGUUCUUCCAUAAAGCAAAAGCCAAUCUAAUGCCCAGGAAUUCCUAAUAUGCAUGACAUUCAGGGAAAAUCAUUUUUUUUCACACAUCCCUUCUCCAUGUGACAACAUGAUUUACAACCAUAGUCAUGAAGUGAAACAAGUUUUAUUCAUAUAUAAACUGUGCACUCACCGAGCAAAUGUUCUUUGUGGUACCUAAAUGUUAAGCAUAAACAAAAGACCCACAAGACUUAAUAGAGAAUGACAUAACUAUUGUAACUCAAGGGUCAUUUCUUCAAUUGUACAAUCACUCUGCCUCCACUGGUUAUUUAAAAUCAACUUUCAAAUGUGGAAACACAUGAUACCAACAUUGGCUGGAGAAGAGAGCUGUACCCACCCGAAGCAAGAGAAGGAUCUGGAAUUGUUAACAUCGAAUGAGUUUAUAGCUGAGACCCUGCAUCCGUAGGCAUAACUUGGACCUCUCAGAAUUAGCUUCCAUGUAGAAUAUAGUGUCUAUUAAACAACAAAAAUGUGCUAAUUUUGAGUUUAUAUGUAUAUCCUUGAAAAUUAAUAGAAACCAUCGCUGCAACAUAUUUUGAGGGAGAAAAAGUAUUUUAUCGCUGACAUCCUUUGGAAAUGCCAGGGUUUGGCUAUCAUAAAAAGCAGAAUACCUCUUAGCUGGUUUUACAAUAGUUUCAAGUUUUCUAUGUGCUUGCUUCCUGCCUGUAUCCAGGGUGUGUUUUUCUACUGCCCUGCACUGAGUGUGUCCCCGAUUAGGGGAGCUGGUGUCCCCGAUUAGGGGAACUGGUGACCCCUCCUCAUUUCCACAUACAGCAGGACCCUUCUUCCAAACACGUUUCCCGCUGUCACUCAUGGACCCUUCAGACCCUGGGGUACAGUAACCCAGAUCCUAGAAGUAAAGCAAUGUGACCCAGAUGCUGUAACUCAGGAAAAAAUUAUCUCACACCUCUAGAAACUGGAGCCUCUUGGCCUUCAGGUUUGUUAGCAAGAGCAGCACCUUAGUUUUGAGAGCAGAUAGCAGAUGUUUUCUGAGCACCCAUAAUAUGUGUGAUGACAAGCUAGAGAAUGAGGGAGACACUCAAAGUACAGGGCAUGGUCUCGAACCAUAAGAGUUUUGUAAUCAGGGUUGAGAGACAAAACAGAAAGAUAUACACAGCUUAAACCUAGAAACACAGAGAAAGUAAAUUCAAGAGAUAGAAGAUUAUCAAACAGAGGGAUUAUUUUCAUCAGGGAUGACCAAUAAAAACUUCUGUCUUGCUUUUGCCCUGGGUCUCAAAAGGCUGAAAUACCAUGGGAUGAGGAAAGAAGAUGAGGAGGAGAAAUCUCCAAGUGGAGUUGAUGUCAGGAGUGUAGGGAAGGCAGAACGUGUUGUGAAGUCAAGCAACAUUCUGGAUGAUGUUCAUCAUGAAGACAAAAACACUAGAAGUAGAAUGGACCCAGAAGGUGACCUCACAUACCAGAUGAAAGAAUGGGGCAUUUAGGUAGUUGGGAGUCAUCGAGUAUUUUACACAAGGAAGUGAUCAAAUUAAAGAGGUAUUUUUUGGGAAGAUGAACCUGGUGGUCAUCUAAAGGAUGAGGUAAGGGGAGAAGGCAAAGGAGGAGCAAAUGAGGACAUAAGCAUAAGAAGAUAAAGACCUGGAUUGAGGAGAUUCACCUUCACAUAUAAUGGAAACGCGCGAGAUUGGACAAGGGCUCAAAUGCUACAAAGUUCAAACUCCCAGUGUGAAUUUAUUUUUAAUAUCAGGAAUAUGGGGCUGGGGAUGCGGCUCAAGCGGUAGCGCACUCGCCUGGCAUGCAUGCGGCCCGGGUUCGAUCCUCAGCACCACCUACAAACAAAGAUGUUGUGUCCGCCGAAAACUAAAAAAUAAAUAUUAAAAAAAAAAAUCUCUCUUUAAAAAAAUAUAUCAGGAAUAUGAAGAGAAGGGUCUGGAAAAAAUAGCCACACAACUGGCAUCUAGGAAAGUUCUCUUCUGUUUGUUAAUGCAUUGUUUCAUAUUAAAUAUUCUGUACUAAAGAUUCCUAAAGAAAUAAGACAGACAUGGGUAAAUAAGACAUGGGUAAAGCAUUCUCUGUGAAUCAUGAUUUCUCCAUAAAAAGCAGUAAAAUGGGGCUGGGGUUGUGGCUCCGUGGUGGAGCGCUUGCCUAGCACAUGUGAGGCACUGGGUUUGAUCCUCAGCACUGCAUAAAAAUAAAUAAAUAAAAUAAAAGAAUUGUGUCCAUCUGCAAUUAAAAAAAAAAGUAAAGUACCCAACCUCACAAAAAAGCAAACAAUUCUUUGCACAAUGUUCUAAGAAUAUUCUUUUUUUUUAUUGGUUGUUCAAAACAUUACAAAGCUCAUGAUAUAUCAUCUUUCAUACAUUUGACUCAAUUGGGUUAUGAACUCCCAUUUUUACCCCAAAUACGAAUUGCAGAAUCACAUCGGUUACACAUUCACAUUUUUACAUAAUGGCAUAUUAGUGACUGUUGUAUUCUGCUACCUUUCCUAUCCCCUACUAUCCCCCCUCUCCUCCCCUCCCAUCUUCCCUCUCUACCUCAUCUGCUGUUGUUCAAUUCUCUCCCUUCUUUCCCUCCCCCUUUCCCCUCACAACCUCUUAUAUGUAAUUUUGUGUAACAUUGAGGGUCUCCUACCAUUUCCUUUCCAGCAGUUUGCCCUACCUGGACAGCCUGGUGUUCAGUCAGAUGAUACAGAGUGAAAUGACCCUUUUAGGAAUUUAAGAACUCGCCUCGAUUUCUAACUCUUUUUCUUGAAAAUAGAAGUAGAUUUUAUCAUAGACACAUUUAAAAAGCUGUAUUUUAGUUCACCCUCUGAGUGUGCUGUACUUCAGGGCCUCAUUCUAUUGGUGACUUCUGUGCUACUUCAUCCACUCUUCACUUUAAACAGCACUCCCCAGAAAAACCCUACAGCUCUCUCCAAAUCAGAGAAACGCCCUGUUCUUUUUUCAUGAGCUGCAUUAAGGGAAAAGUACAGGUUUUGAGAGGCAGCCGUUAUAUUUAUGGUCUUUAAUGGUUAUUUUCAGGCAUAGUUCAUGUAACAAAUUUGGAGUUGUAAUUUGUUCAUUCUCCAAUUCACUCAAAUUAAAAAAUUAACGCUAUCCAGGCACUGUGGUGAACACCUGUAAUCCCAGCAGCUUGGGAGGCUGAGGCAGGAGGAUCGCAAGUUCAAAGCUAGCAUCAACAAACUUAGUGAGGCCCUAAGCAACUUAGCAAGACCCUAUCUCUAAACAAAAUAUAAUAAGGGCUGGGGACGUGGCUCAGUACUUAAAAGCCCCUGGUUUCAAUCCCUGGUACCAAAAGAUGAUAAUGAUGAUAAUAAUAAUAAUAAAUGCUAUAGUUAAAAUAUUAUGAAUAUAGCUUCCAAAUUCUUGCUCACCCGAGCAUCUGUGUGAGGCUUCUCUCAGGAGUUUAGCAAAGAGACCCCACAUUCUAGGCAGGACAGGCAGGAUUUGGGUUCUCUGGGGAGGGGAGAACAGAAAACCUAACUAGAUGAAAAACCUUGACACUUCAAGAGAUGGGGAGGACAUCCAUCUUUUUGUGUAGCAAUUUUUUUUCCCAGAUUUGAGAUUUGUUUUUAUUUUCUUGACCUGGAGAUUUUAAUUUCCACGGAAACAAACAAAAAUCUCUUUUCACUUCUUGUAAAAAUAAGGGGAGUUGGGGGGACACAGCCCCAUUGCAUACCUUAUCUACAAGGUGGCAGGGAAGGCGGGGUUUCCACCAUCCGAAAUCAGUGCCGAUGGUUGCCUGAUUCAGUCUCCAUCAGGGUGAUUUUCACACUUCUAAAAAAACCCAUCUUUCUAAACAUCAUGAAUAAUGGAUUGAGAUUUCUAAAACCCCCUUCAUUUCCCUCCACAAUUUAAAUCAAGCUCUUUCAAAGCCAACAUGCUACAUAUUGAUUGAAGUCUGCAAAAGGUUAUAAAUAGUAAAGGUUGAAAAUUUUCCACAAAGGUAAGCAGAUGAAUAAAAACUACUUAAACUACAGACGGGCAAGGUGUGUUUGUCAGCAGCACUGUCCUUCAUCACCGUGCUAUUGUCUUGAAGGGACACAAUAAACAGAAACGGGCAGUGAUACCCUUGUGCUUGCCUCUGAGCUCAACCCUGCAUGUACUUCCAGCCUCCUCCAAAUCAGAGCUAUGCUGCCCCUUUCUUAAGGCCAAACUUGGUGCAGGAAGCUGUAUGUAGCUUCAAAUCCAAAUGCAGUCUCCCUCUGACACUGGAUAUUGUUCAAAUCCUGUAUGUUCUGUGUACUCCGUGGCAUUCAAGCUAAUAUCUGUAAACUGUUUGUCAAGUAGCAAAUUCCAAGCUAGAGGAUUUUUUCCUCUUCCUGCAAAUUUCAUUUGUAACUCCCACCAAUGAGCUGUAUCGGGAGACAAGAUCAUGUGUCAAAACAUCAAAUCUUUACAGUGAUGCAUAAUACUGUAAAAAUAGGAAGAGAAUAUCUGAGGCUGGAACAAAAAAAAAAAAAAAAAGAGGGUUUUCAUGGACAAGGUGGCCCAAAACCUUAGUAAUAUGUUAUCUGAAUAGUGUUUUAUAACAUCCACGGUACUCUCAGGAACUUUGUUUUAUCCGAUCCUCAGAACAGCACCCUGAGCUGUUCCAUUUCCUAUGAAGCUCCAAGUAACUUCCAUAUAACCAAUAUUUAUUGAGUAACUAAUGUAUGCCAGUUGCUGGUAAUGGGGGAGAAAUCCAACAAUGUGCUCUGCAAACAGAAAGAAGGCCAACAUGGCUGGAGCUGAGGGAGAGAACCGUAAGAGAUGGGUUGCAGAGGUGGGAAAGGGCUUAUCUACUUGAGAGCGGGGAAUCAAGACGGAGAAGGAUCAAGUAGGGGGUCACAUCCACCAGGCAGGUAGUACGGCUGGAGCCUAAGUCGUAAGUGCUGGCACUGGAGUCCAACCAACAGUCCUGCACCUCUCCAUGUGCCCUUCUACUACUCCAUGUUCCUCAAACGGCUUUACCAUCUCAAGGCCAACCUCAAGGCCAACCUCAAGAGGUGAAGCAGGCAGAGAAAAAGGAGCGCUGAUAUUCCAAACCCAACCUUAGAUCCUGUUUAUCUGAUGGACUAUCUGAUUUUCACAUGAGCAGCAUAUUUUUUUUUUUUUGCCUGAAUUUUAAAACAUGGAAUUUCCCCCAAAUACUAAGGAAUAUUGUCUUUCCUGCCUAUCCUUGGUGGCCUCUGGGCUGAAGAUUCCGUUGGCUGGUUCUACACUCUGGGGUAAACUCACGCACUGCAGGUAGAAUAUAAUUAUCAGAGGAAACCGAAAAGGUGACCGGAGAAGAAAAGAUAAAACAUGCUUAAUACCUCUAGGGAAUGAAUCCAAAUGGAUCUUGAUGGGUAUUUGUAAGGAGAAUGUAAUAUCAGUGCUUUCCCAUUCUUCUUUAAGAGAAUUUGAAUACUGUCUUUCUCUCACCGUUUCUACAUGAACUCAAAUUGCUUUAGAAACCUGUCAUAUUGAAUUAGCCAAAGCAGAUAGUAAUUCAGAGGGGUGCCAGAGUGCCAUUGUUGAAAACUGCUGGUUGGAAGGCUUGUUGUGGCAUUAUUCAGGGGCUCUAAACUUGCUUUCAACAGUGUGUUGCUAUGAAUGAUGGGGUUUCUGUGGGGUUUGGAUUAAAUAUCUCUAAAAGCCCAUCACAAAGAUGAGAGUAUCUGCACUGGGAAUGGUGCACACUUAGGGUCAACAUCGGAACCAUGAAUCAUAGAAUAGGAAACAAGAGGCCUUGGUUGGCCCCACACUGUGGUCACUUGGCAUGGACCACAACCAGAACAGACCUUGCAAUGGAGCAGCAAGAACAAUCAGGUAUGGAAGCUCCUUGACCUUGACAUGAAAUAAAUGAGGAAUAAGGAACAAAGAACAGAGACCUGAAAACCACCACUCUUCCUCCUGAUCCUAAUGGCUGGUCCUCUCCUGGGAAAUCUGCUUAGGGUCAUCUUUGAUCACACUACCCUCAUCAUCAUUUUUUUUAAGACGUCGUGAUAUUUGGUCUCUCUAUUCAUUUAAUUACUUGUUCGGCUACUGUCUGUCCCUUACAUUCCAGAAGGUAAUCUCCAUGGGAAAUUGAAUCUUGGCGGUCUUACCACCAGCCCUAAGGAGCAAUUCCUGGAGCAUAGUAGGCACUCAAUAAAUACAUAUCAAAGGAAUAUCAAAUUCACAAAAAACAUAUAUACUAUCCCAGGGCCAUUCUGUGUGUAAGAACAUUGUUUGAUUAGCUGUUAUAGUAAAGCCUAUGCAGGCUAGAAUCUGGCAGUCAACAUUGAAUUGUCAGUUCUGACCAGAGACUGGCUGUAUGCCUAACCGGUUCCUUGCAGCAGGAACUUCAUCUGCGAAAUAGCUAGGAAGCCAUUGCAGGUCUUUGCACAAUGUGUAAACCCACUCUUUAGUAGGAUUAAGAAAAAUAGUAGCCAUCUUCUCAAUACCUCAUAAUAAAAAUUUUAGAUUUAUCUUUGAGCCUUGUCUAAUGCAAAAAAAAAUAUUUUUUGCAACAUUUUAUUUUGAAUUAUUCUAAGUCUAUACAGAUAGAUUGCAAUAAUUGCAAAUGAACACUAGAUUGACCAACUGCUUAUACAUCGACCUUUGCUUACUCUCUACAUGCCUUUCAGUAUGCAUGUAUGUGUCUGCGACUGAGUAUGUGAGUAGGUACACUGUAUGCAUGCAUGUGUAUGUGUGCAUGCAAAUGUAUGUGUGUAUGGGUCUAUAUUUGUGUGUAUGCCUUGUGUGCGCAUGUAUGUGCAUUAUCUGUGCAUGUAUGAAUAUAUGGUCAUUAAAUGUGAGUA